UACGUAGGGGGGCAAGCGUUGUCCGGAUUUAUUGGGCGUAAAGAGCGUGUAGGCGGCCAGGGAGGUCCGUUGUGAAAACUCGAGGCUCAACCUCGAGACGCCGAUGGAAACCCCCUGGCUAGAGUCCGGAAGAGGAGAGUGGAAUUCCUGGUGUAGCGGUGAAAUGCGCAGAUAUCAGGAAGAACACCCGUGGCUAAGGCGGCUCUCUAGUACGGUACUGACGCUGAGAGCGAAAGCGUGGGGAGCGAACAGG
rnacentral:rRNA from 1 species